UUCAACACUUCGCAGUAAAAUGGGAUUCGUUAAAGAGAAAGGAGAGACACGCCUGGCUUUCCCCACUGAACACAAUGUCCUAGACUAGGACUCGUCUCAUAACAGAUCUGCUUGCGGAAUCUUCUCCAUCUCCCACCACCGUGGCUGGUUGCCAGUCCUGUUGCCACUGUAGCAGGCCGAGAGGAUUGAAACUCAGAAGCUGGGAAACAUAUCUGAAGUCACAAAGCUAAGAGAAGGCUGCAUGGCAAUCUGCUUCCAUUGACCACAGACCGGUACCCCUAACGGGCUGAGAACCUGAGAACCGUAUAGCUGAAGCUAGAUUUAUAUAUGGUCUUCUAGCUCUUUGCCAACUUGAACCAGAGGCACGUGGGUCCUUUAGAAGCCAUGCUGGAAGAUGGAUCUUCAAUACUAUAAGAACUUGCCUGUGGAUCAGGUCUUGGAGAGGAGCUGAGCUGUUUCCUGACCAUCAGAAACAUGUGUUGAAGUUGAAAGAAAUUUUUCUAUUGUGUUUAAAUCCUCAGUCGUUUCUGGUUUGUCAUAACAGUCACUGCUAUUUUACUAGUGUAGAGAUCAUUAGCAACCAUUUGAACAGUGUCUCUCUGUGCUGUUUGUUUUAUCAGAAACAAUUUGAGAAUGUCUGGGCUGAACAUGGGCUCACAAUAAUUUAGUCUCUCCAGCAAAAGCCUGUGUAACUUUUUCCUGGUACUGAUCUGGCAGUCCAGUCUGACCACCAUUAUCUGUGUGUCACUUGGUUGCCAAAGUGCACUGAGCCAUCCCUCCAGCCUUAAAAGGUAGUUUUAAAUGGAAAUCAACACAAAGCCCCACCCUCAAGAAUCCUCCCAGUUCCCGAUGGAGUGUUCACCUCUGCUGCUAGUUCCCGCUCUCUGCCGCCUCUUGCUUGAGCAAAUGCAACCUAACAACUGAGGAGUAUAUUUCAAAAGCCUUUACACUAUGGGGAUGGAGGAGAGAAUAGCAAAAUGAAAAGGCUGUGCAGACCUUUUUAUCCACGAAGGGGGUCCAAUCUAUCGGCGGCAGCCAUCCUGAAGCUACUUACAGCCUGCGUUCUGGCUUUAAUUCAACGGCCUGGGACUCCCUGUCUUCAUCAGUAAAACAGGAGUUCAGUGGAAAAAAAAAAAAACACCUUUCACAGGACCUAUUUUACCAUGAGAAAUUACACAGCCUAUUUUACCAUUAGAAAUCAUUAGAGAUAACUUCUCUACAAACAACUAAGAAUGUUUAAUAAUUUAUAAUAAACUUUUUACAACGUUAACUGCUCAGACACAUCUAAAUUAGAAGACAUUAUUGAAAAGAGUAAGUCUGGUUAGGAAAGCUGAGAUGGGUUAGAAAUCAUCAUCACACAUGACAACUGUAGUUGUAUCAGUAAGAGAAAGAUGAAGUACAGCUGACAUAUCAAGUCAAGGAGCAGACUGCUAGAAUGUGGAGUCAAGUACCGGGCCGUUUUCUCUAAGUGUGAUGACAGCCAAUUUUCCGUGCUAUGCUAGUGGAGCUCAGGCAAUUCUGUGGAAGACGGGGAGGAAGGACUGUAGGGAGCCAGAACAGUUAAGGAUGACUCAAGAAAACCCACAGAAUUAACAAACCUGGGCUCUUAGGAACUCAGAGACUGAACCGACACCAGAGAGCCUGCCUGCACCGAGGUCGGCCCUCUGCAUUUAUGUUAGUUGUGUAGCUUGGUUUCCCUGUGGGACUCCUAACAGUGGGAGCAGAGGGGGGAGGGCUGUCUCUGACUCUUCUGCUGGCUCUUGGGACCCCUUUCCUCAGACUGGGUUGCCUUGUCCAGCCUUAAUGAGGGUAUGUGCCUAGCUUACUGCAGCUUGAUAUGCCAUGUUUGGUUGAUUCCCAUGGAGGCCUGCCCUUUUCUGAAGAGA